AAUUAAGUUUGGCUCUUAAGUUUCGUUAAAAUAAAAACAAAGUAUCUGCUUCGUGACUGCGAAUAGUUCGAUUUGAGAAGGCCAGUGACCGUUUCGUGGUUUCAAUAUUACCAAGGAAUAAGGACCCAUUAUGAGACAUUCUCACCAGCAAACCACGGCCUACGAUGUUCAGGUUUUCAAAUGUGCUCCGAAGUUUUCCAUUGAUGGUUUUCCAAUAAAACUUAGGAUUGAGAUUCCCGCAAUCAUCCGGAUCUAUGGAGCGAGUACAAAACAUUUCAACCACCCGCCCGCUGUGAACCGUUUUCAAUUUCAAUCCUUUUGUUUUCACUCGAGUAUCGCAUUUAUGCCGCCAACGGUUCCAAAUCCGGUGAAAUAGACGUCAAAAACAUUUGAUGAAGAUAAAGGAAGCUUCGGCAUUACCCGUUCAUAAUCUUCCGAUCUGAAGCCUCACAACAACCAAACAUCAUUCCCAAAGUUGUCGAAAGACGCCACACAUGAAUCCAUCCGGGACAAGCCUAGAAUGUAUUGCAUCUUCGGAGAGCCGUUAACCACAAACAGCCUCGCCUUGUUAGCGAUGCACUUAUUCCUUGAGGUCUGAUUUGAGUGGAGGAGCUGAAUGAGCUUCCGUUAAGCCUAAUAUGCUUCACAACUGGUUCCAUAGAAGAUUAUCGGCCGACGAAAUAUCAGUACCUGUUACAUGUCGAAACCGCAUACAGCUCAAGAUGAACAAGUCAGGAAGGAGGAUGAAAUGGAUCGGAACUGACAACGUAUUAGUGGCGUGCAAAUCAACUUUAGCCGAACAUCUGAUCAACAUAAACAUGAACUUUCUUCAAUCUUCACAAGACACCAACCGCGUAUGCUAUGGCUGGAAUCGAUGGAUCGCUGCUAGAGUUGAAGUACCUAUUCCAAAAACAAUGUCCUUCUUAGGGGCGGGCCAAUUUCCCGUUUCGUAGCCGUACCUUGGAGUGGUCAAUUUGAAUGACAAUACCAUCGCCUAUUUACCGUUGAGGGACCUGUCUGCUGCGCCUCGUCGAUUCCAUACAGUCGAUGUAAACAACUUUCGCGAAAAUGUAAAAAAAUGCUUUAAUAAAGGAUGUUUAUAAUAAAAUUUAUACU